UAAUCUUUCCCAUGGAAACAACGGAAACUCAACCAACCACAUGCUGGUUACCCUUUCUGGGGCUGUCCUUUACUGUUCUUGCUGGAACACCCAGAAGCUACAUACAAUUUUGAGGUUAAUGAGAGUGGUCUAUCUUCUUGCUUCAAUGUGGUCUUUAUACUUAAACUCUGUUGAGAGAGCCUAGACUCGUACUCCCAUUUAUUUGGAGAAAACCAAUACAGGAAAAAUCCAUGGUGGUCCUAAGCUUCCAAGCUGUCCAGUUCAUGCCUCCUCAACAUCUUCCAUUGCAUAGACCAAGCACCGGAAAUGUCAUGGUCAUCCGGUGUGGGAUUGCAGAGCCAUCGGGAGAGCCGGCUCCUUUAGGACAAAAAACACGGUACAAUGAUGGCUUCUUUGAUAGGGCAUUCAUGACACUCUUUGCUCGGAAGAUGGAGAAGUUUGCAGCUUCGGCUAAAGCCGGGACAGAGACGAAGAAGAAAGGGUGGUGGAAUCUUGACUACGAGAGCUUUGUGGAUGUGUCUAAGAGAGUAAUGCAGGGAAGGUCUCGUAUGCAGCAGCAGCAAGUUGUUCGUGAGGUGCUCUUGUCUAUGCUCCCUCCAGGUGCGCCUGCUCAGUUCAGAAAACUAUUUCCUCCAACGAAGUGGGCUGCAGAAUUCAAUGCUGCAUUGACAGUGCCCUUCUUCGACUGGUUAGUUGGGCCUUCUGAGGUUAUAGAAGUUGAGGUAAAUGGGGUGAAGCAGAGGAGUGGAGUUCAUAUAAAGAAGUGCAGGUAUUUGGAGAACAGUGGGUGUGUAGGAAUGUGUGUGAAUAUGUGCAAGAUUCCUACUCAAGACUUCUUCACCAAUGAAUUUGGGCUUCCUUUAACCAUGAUUCCAAUCUGCAGAUUCGUAAUGGAUCAUCUUCUCUGUGUUCAUCCUCAGAUUUUGAAGACAUGAGUUGCGAUAUGGUGUAUGGCCAAGUUCCGCCCCCUUUUGAAGAAGAUCCAGUGUCCAAACAACCUUGUUUUUCAGAUAUUUGCUCCAUGGCAAAUCCCAACUCCGAUGUUUGUCAUAAACUACAGGCUUAGACAGAUACUUCUCCCUCUCCUCCCUUUGUUCCUCAUUUUGGAGCAUUAGAGAGAAACAAUGGGGUAAACCUGUGGCAGACUGUACAUAUAUCAGAUACUCGCUUUCUGUUCAAGAAACAAGACAUGAGACACGUAUUGAACCUGAAUUCCCUUUAAUAAUUUCUUUCAUACUUGUGCUUUCAUACAUUUGUAAACUUUAUCCCCUUGGACGCAAAUUAUAUGUCGAUGCAUUUUCCAAAAUUAGUCCAUAUCAGAUGUUCAUUCUCCA